UACGGAAGGCAGCAGUGGGGAAUAUUGCACAAUGGGCGAAAGCCUGAUGCAGCUAUGCCGCGUGUAUGAAGAAGGCCUUAGGGUUGUAAAGUACUUUCAUCGGGGAGGAAAAAACAAAACUAAUAAUUUUAUUUCUUGACGUUACCCGAAAAAGAAGCACCGGCUAACUCCGUGCCAGCAGCCGCGGUAAUACGGAGGGUGCUAGCGUUAAUCAGAAUUACUGGGCGUAAAGAGCACGUAGGUGGUUUUUUAAGUCAGAUGUGAAAUCCCUGGGCUUAACCUAGGAACUGCAUUUUGAAACUGAAAUACUAGAUAUCGUAGAGGGAGGUAGAAUUCUAGGUGUAGCGGUGAAAUGCGUAGAUAUCUGGAGGAAUACCUGUGGCGAAAGCGGCCUCCUAAACGAAUACUGACACUGAGGUGCGAAAGCGUGGGGAGCAAACAGGGAUUAGAUACC
rnacentral:rRNA from 1 species